rnacentral:rRNA from 1 species
AUUGAACGCUGGCGGCAGGCUUAACACAUGCAAGUCGAGCGGUAGCACAGGGGAGCUUGCUCCCUGGGUGACGAGCGGCGGACGGGUGAGUAAUGUCUGGGAAACUGCCUGAUGGAGGGGGAUAACUACUGGAAACGGUAGCUAAUACCGCAUAAUGUCGCAAGACCAAAGUGGGGGACCUUCGGGCCUCACACCAUCGGAUGUGCCCAGAUGGGAUUAGCUAGUAGGUGGGGUAAUGGCUCACCUAGGCGACGAUCCCUAGCUGGUCUGAGAGGAUGACCAGCCACACUGGAACUGAGACACGGUCCAGACUCCUACGGGAGGCAGCAGUGGGGAAUAUUGCACAAUGGGCGCAAGCCUGAUGCAGCCAUGCCGCGUGUGUGAGGAAGGCCUUAGGGUUGUAAAGCACUUUCAGCGAGGAGGAAGGGUGGUGUGUUAAUAGCGCAUCACAUUGACGUUACUCGCAGAAGAAGCACCGGCUAACUCCGUGCCAGCCGCCGCAGUAA